GAAUUCAACUCCUACGGGAGGCAGCAGUGGGGAAUAUUGGACAAUGGGGGGAACCCUGAUCCAGCCAUGCCGCGUGUGUGAAGAAGGCCUUUUGGUUGUAAAGCACUUUAAGCGAGGAGGAGGCUACUGGUAUUAAUACUACCGGAUAGUGGACGUUACUCGCAGAAUAAGCACCGGCUAACUCUGUGCCAGCAGCCGCGGUAAUACAGAGGGUGCGAGCGUUAAUCGGAUUUACUGGGCGUAAAGCGUGCGUAGGCGGCUUUUUAAGUCGGAUGUGAAAUCCCUGAGCUUAACUUAGGAAUUGCAUUCGAUACUGGGAGGCUAGAGUAUGGGAGAGGAUGGUAGAAUUCCAGGUGUAGCGGUGAAAUGCGUAGAGAUCUGGAGGAAUACCGAUGGCGAAGGCAGCCAUCUGGCCUAAUACUGACGCUGAGGUACGAAAGCAUGGGGAGCAAACAGGAUUAGAAACCCUAGUAGUCCAGGCGUU
rnacentral:rRNA from 1 species